UACGUAGGGGGCAAGCGUUGUCCGGAUUUAUUGGGCGUAAAGCGCGCGUAGGCGGGAGGCCAAGUCCGCUGUGAAAUCGCCCGGCUCAACUGGGCGCGGUCGGUGGAAACUGGUCACCUGGAGGACGGUAGAGGCGAGUGGAAUUCCCGGUGUAGUGGUGAAAUGCGUAGAGAUCGGGAGGAACACCAGUGGCGAAGGCGGCUCGCUGGGCCGGCCCUGACGCUGAGGCGCGAAGGCGUGGGGAGCGAACGGG
rnacentral:rRNA from 1 species